UUGCGCACUUAACUGCUGUUAGUGAGUCCGUGUUUGUUUAUGGAAAGUAUUGGCUCACAACCAGAUGAAUAAUGAUAACCCAGGGCAAGUGUGAUCCUUAAAAUAAUGAGGCAACGGACAACCCCCCUCAUGAUCGGGGUCGUGCACGGAUGUGCCGCGACAUUUCUGUGGCUGGGAUUUCCACGAGGAACACUGGCUCCGGUAGGCUGGGCAAAGUUGGACAUCUCAUCUAGCCCUCGCAGGCCAGCCAGAACAGGAGGUUCUCCUCGCUGUACUCUGUCCUCAAGAAGUCCUCAAACACCAGCUGGCCUGCUGCAGGGACGAGAACGGAUAGGCGUUGGAGCCGGGAGAGUUUCAGGUCCAACUUUCAACCGAAGCUGGGACUUCACUGCACUGCCUGUGUGUCUGCCUUUGGGUCCUGCCUGCCUGUGCUGCACACAGCAGUUUGUGACAUCUGCUGCAUAUGGAUGAAUUUCAAGUCAAUCCAAUGGGUGAACGGACCAGUGGUGGACUGCUACAGAGCUUGUGUUUGGGAUACGGCGAACGGUGGGGGUUCAUCCGGACCUGUUGAGCAGUUGACCAGUCUGUUGCCGGUGGAAUUACUUCAGAUUCACAUUAACGGUGCCUUUGGGGAAAUGCAGCUAUGGACAAUAAGUAAGACAAAGAGACAUGAAGGCGAAGGGGAAGGAUGGUGACAUUAUACCCGCAAAUUUACAUACACAAUUUUACAUAAUGUUGUCAAUCAUUAGGGGUAUUUUUUAUAUAACUUGGUGCACUAUUAUUUGAAUAAAAGUUAAAUUUGCCAGAUUAUAAAUAACAAGCAAAAACUUUAAACUAACUCUGGUACAAAACAUCAAAUGGUAACAUUUAUGUUUAAUAUCGUACAUGGUCCC